GUAGGUGAACCUGCAGAAGGAUCAUUA
rnacentral:ncRNA from 6 species